rnacentral:rRNA from 1 species
GAUGAACGCUGGCGGCGUGCCUAACACAUGCAAGUCGAACGAAGCGACUCAAAGUUUUCGGACAGAGAGUUGACUGAGUGGCGGACGGGUGAGUAACGCGUGGGUAACCUGCCUCAUACAGGGGGAUAACAGUUAGAAAUGACUGCUAAUACCGCAUAAGCGCACAGCAUCGCAUGAUGCAGUGUGAAAAGCCCGAGACGGUAUGAGAUGGACCCGCGUCUGAUUAGCUAGUUGGUGGGUAACGGCCACCAAGGCGACGAUCAGUAGCCGACCUGAGAGGGUGACCGGCACAUUGGGACUGAGACACGGCCCAAAUCCUACGGGAGGCAGCAGUGGGGAAUAUUGCACAAUGGGGGAAACCCUGAUGCAGCGACG